CAGUCGAGGGGCAGCGGGGUUGUAGCAAUACAACUGCCGGCGACCGGCGCACGGGUGAGUAACACGUAUGUAACCUGCCCUCUGCAGGGGGAUAAGCGGAAGAAAUUCCGUCUAAUACCGCAUAAUACAAUUUGGAGACAUCUCCGGGUUGUCAAGGGAGUGAUCCGGCAGAGGAUGGACAUGCGGCGCAUUAGCUAGUCGGCGGGGUAACGGCCCACCGAGGCUACGAUGCGUAGGGGUUCUGAGAGGAAGGUCCCCCACACUGGUACUGAGACACGGACCAGACUCCUACGGGAGGCAGCAGUGAGGAAUAUUGGUCAAUGGGCGGAAGCCUGAACCAGCCAAGUCGCGUGAGGGAAGACGGUCCUAUGGAUUGUAAACCUCUUUUGCAGGGGAGCAAGGCGCGGUACGUGUACCGCGAAGGAGAGUACCCUGAGAAAAAGCAUCGGCUAACUCCGUGCCAGCAGCCGCGGUAAUACGGAGGAUGCGAGCGUUAUCCGGAUUUAUUGGGUUUAAAGGGUGCGCAGGCGGACUGUUAAGUCAGCGGUAAAAUGUCGGUGCUCAACACCGGCCGGCCGUUGAAACUGGCAGCCUUGAGUGAGCGAGAAGUAUGCGGAAUGCGUGGUGUAGCGGUGAAAUGCGUAGAUAUCACACAGAACACCGAUUGCGAAGGCAUCUGACGAAUCGGAGAUUGACGCUGAUGCACGAAAGCGUGGGUAUCGAACAGGAUUAGAUACCCUGGUAGUCCACGCUGUAAACGAUGAUGACUAGCCGUCGGCGAUACAGUGUCGGUGGUCAAGCGAAAGCGAUAAGUCAUCCACCUGGGGAUAC
rnacentral:rRNA from 1 species